UCAAUGCAUGACCAUAUUCAGGUAAUUGAAUCUGUUUACCAACAAGGCAAAGGCCAUGUUACUGCUAUGUUAGCUCUUAAGGAGCUUCAGAAAAUUAGCAAUCUUUUAUCUGGGAUGUGAGGUCAAUAGAUGUUGGAAGUUACCAUUUUUUAGUGAAAUAAAAAUGAGUUUCUUUAACUUCAUUUCAAGUAUUCCAACAAUGUUUUGCAAUAUUCUCAGAGAGAUAAAUAUGUAAAUACUCGUAUUCCGUUCACAUAAUGAUUUAAAUUGUAGACCGCAUC